rnacentral:rRNA from 1 species
GAUGAACGCUAGCGGCAGGCUUAAUACAUGCAAGUCGUGGGGCAGCAGGUUUGUAGCAAUACAGAUGCUGGCGACCGGCAAACGGGUGCGGAACACGUACAGAACCUUCCUUUGAGCGGGGAAUAGCCCAGAGAAAUUUGGAUUAAUACCCCAUAGUAUAAUGAAGUGGCAUCACUUUAUUAUUAAAGAUUUAUCACUCGAAGAUGGCUGUGCGGCUGAUUAGGUAGUUGGCGGGGUAAAGGCCCACCAAGCCUGCGAUCAGUAACUGGUGUGAGAGCACGACCAGUCACACGGGCACUGAGACACGGGCCCGACUCCUACGGGAGGCAGCAGUAAGGAUAUUGGUCAAUGGAGGCAACUCUGAACCAGCCAUGCCGCGUGGAGGAUGAAGGUCCUCUGGAUUGCAAACUUCUUUUAUAUGGGACGAAAAAAGGCUUUUCUAAGUCGUCUGACGGUACCAUAUGAAUAAGCACCGGCUAACUCCGUG